rnacentral:lncRNA from 1 species
AGGGAGCAGGAGCAGGUGACAGGCUGGAGGCUGAUGGGGGCUCUUUCUUAGGCCCAGGAGGGAGGGGUGACCCCUGAAAUGGGGAGGUUUUUCCCAGGUCCCUGCUCCUGCAGGAGCUCCCUCCCUCUGAGGUUCCAGUGGGAGGGUCUCAAAUGUCUGUGGGCAUCAUCUCCGGGGCUGUGGGUGGGGAUCUGUGAGCCCACCCUCUUCCCUGUGUGGUAGAGUAAUGUGCUCUGAAUGCCUGGGUUUGGUAGAAGGUUGUGCAGGGGGAUAUGGUCUGUCUCUUGUACAGAAGAGAGAUGCUGAGAACCAGCUCAGCCAAGAAUCACGAGGGAAAGCUCAGCAGAAAGAGACUGAAUGAUGUGGUUGGAGUGAGAGUCAUGGACAAAUGGGUGGGCAAGAGCCCUUGCAGAAGCUGGGAACAAGCCUGGGAAAGGAGCGGUCUCUUCACCAGGGGGGCUUCUCCAGCUUUAAAAGGUAAUGCAGCUGGAGUGACUGAUGGGAUGGAUGUGAAGACUAAGAUGAAGAGACCCCAGGAGAGUGGGACACUGAGACUCCCCAGGAGGGCAGUUGGCUGCCCCAGGAAGGAGGGCAGGUCCCCCAGCCUGCAGCUUACACACAGUGGGGGUCCCUGGUCCUGUUGGGAGACCGCUAAGGCUUCUCAGGCCAGCAGCCUGUGCAGGUCUGAGCUGUGGCUGGAGGUGCCGGCCAGCUUGUGUUGCACUGAGUGCCUGGGGGGGGCGGCGGCCAUGGUUGAAUAAGGGCAGGCUUGAUCUCGGAGGCUUCUGAGAUGCAGCCACAGUUCCGCUGCCUGGAAUGAGGCAAAGGAUGCAAAAGGCUGCCCUGGGUCAGGCCGGGCCUCCUUCCCCCUCAUGUGGCUUCUCAAGUUCCGAAGUCACCUUGUGUGGGGGAAUCACCGCACCGAGAGGGACCUGGACAUGGAAAGACCUGGACCUGGAAAGACCAUUGGUGUGAAAGAGCAGAGACCUGGUCCUAGGCCAGGUUGUACUACUACGGACUGGCUUCCAAACCAUGGGUUUAUUCAUUAACCUCUUUGGAUCCUCAGUUCCCACAUCUGUGAAAUGGGAAGGCACCUGAUAGCUGAAGCUACAAAAAAAUCAAACUUACUAAAUAGUAUAAAGACAGGAGACAGCACCCAAAGCAGCCGAGACCUAGCCCACCCUGGCUGAAAGACGGUGACUCCUGUGCCGAAGCAGAGGCUGACAUGGGUGAACAGGACUGCCUGGGGCAGAGCUGUGACCGCUGGGAAACAGGUCCUACCGUAGGCGCUGGGAUAAUAGAGACCCCCUCGGAGCAGCUUAACGGAAGACUGGUGGGCUGCAAACCCAACUGCGGGAAGCCCCGCCUUAGGGUGGGAGGAACCCAAGCGCUUCUUUCGAGUGACGCUUCUUCGUUCCUCUCUCUCGUCUCUCUCGCUUCGGUCUCCCAGAUGUCUUUUCUGCUGCUGAGCAGACUGGCAGGCAGCCGGUGAUGGGGCCCUACUUGGAAGACCCCCUCCUCUGCUGGCUCCUGCGAUUCUUCAGCCUCCUCGUCAGUGUCUACAGCAGUGGGACCAAUGGUGGAGGCCCUGCUCCUGGAGUUCAGGAUUCUGGAGCUCCUGAUCCUCUGCAGGGGAUCCGAGGAGGUUCUGUGCUGUUUCCUUUGCCCAAGAAGCAAGACGCUGAGCUGGAGGAGGUCACGUGGGGCUUUGGUCCUGGGUCAGAGUACAGAGUCCUGCUGCGAGUCCGUCCUGGGAAAGCUCCCACCUGGGUCAGCCUCCAGGACAGGUACCAGCAGAGGGUCCAUGUGCCCAACAUGACGUCCCUGAAGAUUGAGAACCUGACCCCUGAGGACAGUGGGCUGUGCAGGACCUCAGGGGACGCAGAGAACCUGAAGGUGACCUGGGAGGGCAAGGGCCUCCCCAGGGAGCUGGAGGAGAGAGUGACAUCAGGACCAACCCCCAAUUCGUGGACCCUGGCUGUGCACCUGCCCCAGAGCCAGCCCUACACCAACAUCACCUGUGUGGUCAGCAACGAAGUGGACCAGAAAACUGCCACCUUCAACCUUGGGGAAGUCUGUGUCCAUGGUUCACAUGGACAAGCCAAUGCUGUUGCCCUGCCAGGCAUCUUAGGGGCAGGGGCUACUGUGGCUACACUAUUACUGAUCCUUGGAAUUGGACUCUGCCUUUGGAAGAAGAAGAAGAAGAAGAAGAUGGAGACUGCAAGAGGCAGGUUGCCCUUCUCCUUUCUGGCCGAGUUUUCUCCCCUCACCCUUCCUCCUGCAUUUUGCUGCUCCAGGAAUACCUAUGUAGAGGGGAUGGUGGAUUUGGUCAUGGCCUUGGGGUUCAUAACAGUGGGAGAGGGUAUGGGUUUUCAAGGCCCAGGUUCAAGUUUCACUCUGUGUAUGACUCUGGAGCAGGAUUGCAGGAGGAGUCUAAGGACCGUGACGGUGGCAUCCAAUAUGUAGAGCUGAGCCAGCAGGAUUCUCGAGAGAGCACGGACCAG